AUUGAACGCUGGCGGCGUGCCUAAUACAUGCAAGUCGAGCGAGCGGCGGACGGGUGAGUAACACGUGAUAACCUACCUAUAAGACUGGGAUAACUACUGGAAACGGUAGCUAAUACCGCAUACCAUCGGAUGUGCCCAGCUGGGCUUAGCUAGUAGGUGGGGUAACGGCUCACCUAGGCGACGGUCCCUAGCUGGUCUGAGAGGAUGACCAGCCACACUGGAACUGAGACACGGUCCAGACUCCUACGGUAGGCAGCAGUAGGGAAUCUUCCGCAAUGGGCGAGAGCCUGGCGGAGCAACGCCGCGUGUAUGAAGAAGGCCUUCGGGUUGUAAAGUACUUUCAGCGAGGAGGCGUUACUCGAAGAAGAAGCACCGGCUAACUCCGUGCCAGCAGCCGCGGUAAUUC
rnacentral:rRNA from 1 species